rnacentral:hammerhead_ribozyme from 1 species
AUCCAGCUGACAAGUCCCAAAUAGAACGAGACACACCUCCUGGAU